rnacentral:lncRNA from 1 species
GAGCUCAUCAGAGCAAAAUUGGCAUGGGGUUUAAAUCACUUGGGAGAGAUGAUCCUUAGCCAAUUUAUCGCCAGAGUUGGUCUAAGGAAAGAUGUGGCUUUCUGACACUUAACCCGGGAUUUCCCUAAUGCUAGUCAAAUCCGGCACAAAAGGAGUUAUUUUUCACUCUUGCGGACAUAUGGUCUCCUAAUGAUGCUUCAUUAGUUAAAAAGGGCAUCAUCUGUUUUGUCUUCCAGAAUCAAGGUCUUGUCUGGGCAUUUUUAAACAUACAUUUCCACGAAACUCCUAAGUGUUUGGGGGCUAUUUAGUACUGAUUCUUCUAGAUAGGACCAGCAUUUCUCAAAAGUCCUGUGAAAUGUUCUGCUGAAAAAGUAUUUUCUACCCAAGUUUGGCAAAGGCUAUUUCCCUUAUGGAGGUUUUUUUUUUUGGUCAUUUUGCCAUUUCUUAGGCCGCUCCCGCGGCAUACGGAGGUUCCCAGGCUAGGGGUCUAAUCGGAGCUGUAGCCACUGGCCUACGCCAGAGCCACAGCAACGCCGGAUCGUUAACCCACUGAGCAAGGCCAGGGAGUGAACCUGAAACCUCGUGGUUCCUAGUCGGAUUCGUUAACCACUGCGCCACGAUGGAAACUCCUAUUUCCCUUAUGGAGGAUUUUAAUAAAUUGUGCAAGAAAUCCUUCAGUAAUGAAAUAUUUACCUUCAUUUAGCCUAUUUCCCCCAAAGUUUUGACCAAAGAACUUUGUACAGGAACACCGUAAUAGAAGAGGAACAGAAGACCACAUUAAACUGCUUCCCUCAUUCUGUGGAGUAUAUAUUCUACUACUUUAGCCCUGAAUACCAAGAGUUCAACAUUAGAGAAAUGUUGCUUGGGCCCAAAGAGCUCCAUUUAAAUUCCUUUAAGAAUGUUCCCAUCCCAUGGUGCUGGGUUAGUUAUGACUUUUACCCAUUGUAGCGAAGUUUGCUUUCAGCUCAGAAACUUGAAAAUAACCAGAGCUAAGACUGGUAAAGUAAAAGUAACUGAAUGUGUCGUUUUGCAGUAGCCUUGGGAUCUAGCCUACGUGAGCAAGAAGAAAGGUUAUGCUUCCCUUGAAGCACAGGUGGCUCUAACAAGCUUGCAAUCCAUUUCUACCCUUUCACCUUGAAAGCUCAUGCUUCUCCUUUCUCUUAGCAUUAAAGUCUAAAUCAAUCCUACCCCUAAUAAAGAUGAUUCUCCAGGAUAGUCUGCCAUCUCCUCGGACGGCUGGCUUUCUGAGUGGAGUUGCUGUUCCUUGCCAGAACCCCUUGUAUCUCUUGACUUACUCGCCUGACCUGUAGCUAGCAGCAGAGGCCUGGACUCUAUCACACUAUGUAUUACAUUCACAGACCACAAUUUGAUAAUGAUAGUGGCUCCAUCCUUCUCUUAAUAUUCACCUUAAUUCCUUCAAUAAGAGUUUUAAAGAAACUUACAAACUCAGCUAUUUAAAAAUAGACAUCCGGAAUGGAAAUCUACUUAGCAUUUUCUAUUUCAAAGGUCAAUGAAACGUAAGCAAUGAGACAAAGAAAAUGGUUAAGCCCUUUUGCCCCAGAACCACCUAUGUCACAAGUUCUAGACACCUACUACAGAUGUUUGAGUAGUUUACGGGUCCAGCUUAAAACAAAAUACCACUUGGGACAGCUUCUCAUAGUCUUACAGGCCUGUCAUCCUCAAGACCCCGUUAGUACUAACUUCUCCCUUGCUAGGGGGUUUAGCUACCUUGCUUUCCUUUGGCUCCCCUAGCACAUUCUGUUCCUUCUCACCUGAGGGUCUUCAGCAAGCUGCCUUAGUAAUCAUCUUCCCUCUCUUUCACCUAGGUAAUUUUUCCUCAAUCUUCAGAAAUGGGUUCAGGCAUCAUCACCCACGAAAGAAUUCCUGGGUCUCUCAUCUUAUAACAUCCUCCGCUUCCUAACCCCUGUAGGUUUCAUCACAUUUUUAUCAAAUAAUGGGGUAAUUAUUAGCUUAAUGGGCAUCUUUCUCUAUGGACUGGAAGUUCCCCAAGACAUAGAUGGUGUUGAUCUUGUUCAGUACUUCCUGAAGUCCUGUAUUUGAUGGAUAUUCAUAUUUGUUUAGAUUUUGCAAUUAAAUGCAAUUUAGAGAAUUCCAUAGAACCUAUGUGAAUUAACAAGUAUUUUUUUCCCCCUCCUUAAACAGGACAUUGUUUUUACUAAGAGUGAAUAGUCAGCGAACAGUCAAUUGUGGAAUCCACUGGAGUAUUUAAUAAGAGUGUUAGUUUUAUGUAAUCAAAAUAGACCUUCAGUUCAAUUGUACCUGAUUCACGAAUGAAAAUAAUCAUUUUCAUUAGUUAUCUCUGGCCAGCAUUGGUUAAGUACUUGAAUUCAGCUGCAAAUGCUCUGGGUGCUAAGAAUAAUGAGAAGACUGUUUUUAGUGACCCCUUUCCUCCAAAAAUAGGUAUUCUAAGCCGAAAGCGAACUCAUGAUAAUUGGGACUGAUUAGGGCCUAAAAAGUUUCACACUACUUAAGUGAAAUACUGUUGACCAAAGUGGUUUUUACAAGUCCUGUCCUUUGAAUUUCCUUUUUUCUCUAUUUCAGGAUUCCGCAAGGUUAUUCUCGCUCAUGUUCAAUGCAAGCAAGGUCGAUUUGGUGGCUCUGGGUUUCUACAAACCUUAUUCUCUUGCCCUUCCCUUUUUAGUCAUUUUUCACAAUCACCGUUCUUGCCCUUUUAAACAAUUCAUAAGGCUGAACAACAGGAGAAUGGCUGAAGACAGGAGGUAAGACCACUUAAUUUGGG